UCAUGCUGCAUGCAAUAAGGAAAAGGGGAUUUUACAUGCAACAAAAGAUAUAUUAAAAUUGUUCCUGUGCAACUUGACCAAACUAAUUUGACAGCAGGAUGCCUGAAAUGAGAAUGUAUUCAUGUUAAAGGAUCAUACCUUAAUGCAAUUUAACACAAAUCAUCUGCCUGUGCAACUAUUUCAGUCUGUUGACAGAUACAAACCCUUAUGGACAAAGCUAUGGACCUUCUACCAUUAUUGCACUACAAUUCCUUCACUUUUAUUCUCUCAAUAAUCUUGCCAUUUC
rnacentral:lncRNA from 1 species